ACUUGCGAAAGGUUUCAUCACCUGUCGGCCUGAUUGCCGAUUUGCCAUAUUGUUAAUUCGAACUGGCCAAUUACAGGUUGCCACUAGAGCUGAUUGAUUUGGUUGCAUACAAAAAUGGGGAAUUCCAUCUGUGAGAUCAGUAUUGUACCUAAACAUAAGACUGCUGCUUUGCUGAUGCUGGGCUACCAAAUCCCAAAUUAAACGAAUUACAUACCGUUAAAAUCGUGCGUGCACGACGAGACCUACGGGCAAGGGGCACCUCAAGCCUCAAAAAAUCUUCCCUCCCCCAAAGGCCAAGGCUCUGCAAAUCAUAUCUCAUUCCAGGUGAUUCAACUUGAAUCCUCCAACGCAAAAAGCAAAGUUUCCAUUCGAACAACCUCAGGCUCAGAGGGGAAGAGGAAGGAGGAAGGUUUCCUUUCUCUUGCCAGGGCUCCUUUUCCUCUUUCUCUCCCAUUUUGUCUUUCCCUUCCUGUUGCCAUGAUGAUAAGGAAGCUGUGUCCUAAUCUUGAUAAAAAAGAUGGCCUGGAGACCGUCCUGGAAGUGCCCAUACCUGAAGAAAUGUACACCAAGAUGGGCAGCAAUGCAGCUUUGCGGUGGCAAAACAUGCGUGCCUUGAUGAAAGCUCAAUCAGCUUUUGACAAGUCAACCCAUCUCCAAGCUAAAUCAGACAAUGAGUUCUUGGCGUUGCUUAAGAUUGUUGGCGCCCCUCUCAUCCCUUUCCAGGUUCAUUUGGAGAAUUACACACUUUCAGGUCCCCUGAAUUCGAAAGAUUGUUCUAUUGAAGCUUCUACUGCAAAAUAUAUAGUACAGCAGUAUGUAGCCGCUACCGGCGGACAUUUGGCGUUGAGUUCAAUGACCAGCAUGUAUGCAGUGGGACAGGUGAAAAUGCAGGGGUCAGAGAUGCAGCAGGGUGAUGAUAGCGUGCAUACCCGAGGCAACUGCGAGGUCGGCGGGUUUGUAUUAUGGCAAAAGAACCCGGAUUUGUGGUAUUUAGAACUAGUUGUUUCUGGUUUCAAGGUCAGUGCAGGCAGUGACGGUAAGGUUGCCUGGAACCAGUCGUCCUCACAACCUGGUCAGGCAAAUAGAGGCCCUCCACGACCCCUUCGCCGAUUCUUCCAGGGCCUGGACCCCAGGUGCACUGCUAGCUUAUUCUUAGAUGCGGUUUGCAUAGGAGAGCAGGCUAUUAACAACGAAGAUUGUUUCGUACUCAAGCUUGAAACUGCUGCAAACGCCCUCAAAGUGCAGAGUUCAGCGCAGACAGAAAUCAUCCAUCACACAAUCUGGGGGUACUUCAGCCAAAGAACAGGACUCCUCGUCAAGUUCGAGGACACGAAGCUGGUCAGGAUGAAACCCGUCAAGGGAAACGACAGUGCGUUUUGGGAGACCAGCGUGGAGACGGUGGUCCAAGAUUACAAGUACAUCGAUGGCAUCAACAUAGCACACAGUGGGAAGACGAUCACGACACUUUACAGAUACGGGAAGUCAUAUAAUCAGAAGAGGAAGAUUGAAGAAACUUGGAGGAUCGAUGAGGUUGAUUUCAACAUUUGUGGGUUGUCCAAUGAAACCUUCCUGCCUCCAGCUGAUCUCAAGAGAGAGCAAGAAGGUGGAGAGCAAUGAUAAGCUUAGAUUUCCUCUUCCUUUUUUUUCCUUGUAGAAGUUGAAACACAAAGGAAAGUCGAAGAAAAAUGCGUGUACAUAUAGGAGAUUUGAAGUUCUGAUAAGCUUGGAAUGAUCAAGCUAGUUGAUACGUGGCCGAGUUGGCUGGAUGGCAAAGUGUGGUGCGGGAUUUUUGGAUCAGUGGUGCAAGGCUGUGGAAUUUUUCUCGCCGCUGCUCUGCAUCUCUAAAUUGUUUUGGGUUCACAUGGGUCUGGUAUGGAUUUAGUGGGGUGUAUUGCAGUGAUAGGGUACUUUCAAGUAGCACAUAGGUUGUGGUUGGUAUGCUGCUGUAUGUGUAGUACUUUCCCUGCAUUUUAAUGGAUGUAAAGACAUUCCAUAUUUGGUUUACCAUCCAAUUAAAAUGCAAGAAAAGUGCCCCACAUGUAGUAUACUAAACUCAAACUUAGUCUUAGUUAAUUGUAGAUUAAUUUAAUUGCUUUUAUUUUAGCAUUGUGUUUAACUGAACAGAUCAAAUGUAAUUCAAUGGAGAUCUAUUAAUGAAUUAUUGUUGAUAUUGGCUUUAUGUUUUAUUGCCCUUUCUAUCACCUUCUUUGAUUGAUUAUCUUUGUAUAUUUCAUGCUGUGGUUUGAUGCUUUGAUAUGCUUUGGGUGGGUGGCUUCUUUUACUGACCACAUGAAUGGAUGUAAAAGGCUAAUCUGUUUAAAAGAUUAUGAACUCGACGAAGUCAACAGUUGGGGCCCAAUGAUGCAGAACAGACAAUUGAUGUUAAAUUUUUGCUACUGUAAAAUCCCAGCUUUAUCUGGCUAUGAAUGCUUUGUUCCCCCAUUGGAAUCACAACGGUAGUUGGUUGGUCAAGUGCUUAUCCAGAACAAUGUGGAAACCACAAACCCACAACUGUAAAGUGCUUGCCUAACUGCUGGAUAAAGCAUUAUGAGGCUUAGUGGGAUCAGGAUGGUCUCGCCUAUAGUAGAAAUGGAUGGUCAAAUCUAGAUCUUCUUACCCUUGGAUAUGGUGCUGUAAAUCUAAGACAAAGACUGUUGUCCUUUGUGUUGCUGUAAUCUUCGUUUGUCUUGGUGGUUUCUACAUCAUAUCUAUCCUCAAGGCAGUCAAGCAGUGGGGACAAUGAUAUGCCCUUUGAUCUUGCUAUUUACCUGUAAAUAUUAGCAUAUGGUUAUGGGACUUAGCUUUCCCACCUGCUUUGUACUCUGUUAGUAGCUCUUGGAAUAAAACAAAUAACCCACACUA